UACGUAGGGUCCAAGCGUUGUCCGGAUUUAUUGGGCGUAAAGAGCUCGUAGGCGGUUCCGUAAGUCGGAUGUGAAAACUCGGGGCUCAACCCCGAGACGCCAUCCGAUACUGCGGUGACUUGAGUCUGGUAGGGGAACACGGAAUUCCUGGUGUAGCGGUGAAAUGCGUAGAUAUCAAGAGGAACACCUGCGGCGAAGGCGGGUUGCUGGGCCGACACUGACGCUGAUGCGCGAAAGCUAGGGGAGCGAACGGG
rnacentral:rRNA from 1 species